CCUACGUUGAUGCGAAUCUCCCCAUCCUCGACGUUGGCCUCCGACACGUCCCACAGGCUCUGGCCGGUCAUGCUGGAAACGCCCAAACGCCCGCGCCGCGCGAGGGCGCUACACCUGGAAGUCGAGGGAACCGUGUCUGUAUCUCACGAACUGGACUCAAAGCAUCCAGAAAUCCAGAAGGAAGCACCAGGGAACAGAAAGCUCCAGUAGAAGCCUAACUCAAGGACCAGACAAAGAAACUUCCACUGCUCCCAAGACUAAUCACCCCGCAACAUACGGUUCCACAGUUGCAACCUAAGCCGCAGCUGCAGCAAUGCCAGAUCCUGAACCCACAGUGCUGGGCUGGGGAUCAAACCUGCAACCCAGCCCUCCCAAGAUGCCACUGAUCCCACUGCACCACAGGACAACAAAGAAACUCAAGGAUCAGACAAAGAAACUUCUAAUGCACUAAAGAGUAAGAAAACAUUCCGUUUUAUUUUCUCUCAUCUCCCUUCCCCUAUGUUUCAGCCUCCAGGCAAUCUGGUGGUUGCAGCAGAGUAGCAACCCAUGACCCAUGAGAAUGUAUUAGAUCCAAAACCUUCAGGGAGGGGAAUCUUUCUCUCCUGCAGAGCUGCAGCUGCAAGAGGAUGGGACAAACCCCAUUGACUGCUAUCCCUUCUCUGUCCUCCCUCCACUUAGGUGAGGAUACGGGCCAAGUGAAGAAGUAUGUGACAAAGUGCAACAGAGUAGAUAAAGUUCCCAGUUCUGGCCAGAGAGCCAAGAAGGACAGCUCAAAGGGAACCAGAAAAUAUUUGUGAGAUUGUAGGAAUAGGAGGAGCUUGGGGGAAAUGACUCAAUACAAGUGUUUAUGAACUCCAAAACUCACCUUGGUACUGAACAAUGUGGAUCAGAUCCUUGUUAACCUACCAGAGAUUUUGGGAACUGAACUGAUAAACCACUGCUUAGGUCCCAGAGUGGCCACUGGGUUGUACAUAUAUGGGACAGAUCCAUAGAGCAGUACAAAGAUCUUUGAGGUAUGAACUUAUACUGGGAACAUAACCUAUGGAAGAUGAAUUGUAAAUUGCAACCUGAAAUUAACCAGAAUAAUUCUGUACUAAAACAAAAACAUCAACUUUUUCCAUGGAAAUUAAACAAGACCCAGAGCCUCAUAACACAGUAUUCAAAACGUUCAGAAUACAAUUUAAAAUUACUCUGUGCAUGAAUAACCAGGAAAACUGAAUAAGAAAAUGUUGAGAUUAUACAGAUAUUGGAAUUGUCUGACAAAGACUUUAGAGCAAUUAUGAUGAAAAUACUUCAACAGGCAAUUUCCAACACUUUUUGCAGCCAAUGUUAAAAUAGAAAGUCUCAGAAAAGAAAUAAAAGAUAUAAAGAAAAACCAAACAGAAAUUUAAAAGAUAAUAGCAUAUAGAAGUCUCUACUACCUGAAUAGCAGAACAGAUAUCAGAUGAAACAGUCAAUGAACUUGGAGAUAGAUCAAUAAAAAUUACACAAUCUGAACAAUAGAGAGAAAAAAAAAUGAGCAAAGCCUCUAAGAUCUAUGAGACACUAACAAAGAAUUAACAUUCAUGUCAUGAGAGUCCCAGAAAGGAAAGAGAAAAAAUACAGUGCUGAAAAAAUAUCAAUACUGCCUGAAAACUUUCUAAAUUAGGUAAAAGACAUAAGCCUACAGAUUUAAGAAGUCAAUCAGAGGUUAAAUAGGCUAAACCUAUUUAGCUGUUUUACACACAC